rnacentral:tRNA from 1 species
AGUAAAAUGGCUGAGAUUAAGCAAUAAAUUGUAAAUUUAUUUACGGAGUAUUCCUUUUACUA